rnacentral:rRNA from 1 species
GAGUUUGAUUCUGGCUCCCGACGAACGCUGGCGGUGUGCUUAAUGCAUGCAAGUCGAACGAGAUACCCCCGCUGGGUAACCAAUGGGGACUAUCUAGUGGCGAACGGGUGAGUAACACGUGAGGAACUUGCCCUGGAGACUGGGAUAGCCCGGGGAAACCCGGAUUAAUACCGGAUACCCUCGAGAUGUCGCAUGGCGACUCGAGGAAAUGGUCCGCCGCUCCAGGAGAGCCUCGCGUCCUAUCAGCUUGUUGGUGAGGUAACGGCUCACCAAGGCAUUGACGGGUAGCUGGUCUGAGAGGACGAUCAGCCACACUGGGACUGAGACACGGCCCAGACUCCUACGGGAGGCAGCAGCAGGGAAUAUUGCGCAAUGGGCGAAAGCCUGACGCAGCGACACCGCGUGAAGGAUGAAGGCCCUCGGGUUGUAAACUUCUUUCAGUGGGGAAGAAGCGAAAGUGACGGUACCCACAGAAGAAGCCCCGGCCAACUACGUGCCAGCAGCCGCGGUAAUACGUAGGGGGCAAGCGUUGUCCGGAUUCAUUGGGCGUAAAG